CCUACGGGUUGCAGCAGUGGGGAAUAUUGCACAAUGGGCGCAAGCCUGAUGCAGCCAUGCCGCGUGUGUGAAGUAGGCCUUCGGGUUGUAAAGCACUUUCAGCGGGGAGGAAGGCGCCAAGGUUAAUAACCUUGUCGAUUGACGUUACCCGCAGAAGAAGCACCGGCUAACUCCGUGCCAGCAGCCGCGGUAAUACGGAGGGUGCAAGCGUUAAUCGGAAUUACUGGGCGUAAAGUGCACGCAGGCGGUCUGUCAAGUCGGAUGUGAAAUCCCCGGGCUCAACCUGGGAACUGCAUUCGAAACUGGCAGGCUAGAGUCUUGUAGAGGGGGGUAGAAUUCCAGGUGUAGCGGUGAAAUGCGUAGGGAUCUGGAGGAAUACCGGUGGCGAAGGCGGCCCCCUGGACAAAGACUGACGCUCAGGUGCGAAAGCGUGGGGAGCAAACAGGAUUAGAUACCCUCGUAGUC
rnacentral:rRNA from 1 species